GACGUAGGUGGCGAACGUUAUCCGGAAUUAUUGGGCGUAAAGGGUGCGUAGAUGGUAUGAUAAGUUAUCAGUGGCAAAUCGGGGCUCAACCUCGUGGAAGCUGGUAAUACUGUUAUACUUGAGUACAGGAGAGGUUAAUGGAAUUCCCUGUGGAGCGGUGAAAUGCGCAGAUAUCGGGAGGAACACCGGUGGCGAAGGCGGUUCUCUGGGCCUGACCUGACGCUGAGGAGCGAAAGCGUGGGGAGCGAACAGG
rnacentral:rRNA from 1 species